GACCUCAGAUCAGACAAGA
rnacentral:ncRNA from 8 species